GCUACACAUGCAGUCGAGCGAGAUCUUCGGAUCUAGCGGCGGACGGGUGAGUAACGCGUGGGAACGUGCCCUUUGCUACGGAAUAGUCCCGGGAAACUGGGUUUAAUACCGUAUACGCCCUUCGGGGGAAAGAUUUAUCGGCAAAGGAUCGGCCCGCGUUGGAUUAGGUAGUUGGUGGGGUAAUGGCCUACCAAGCCGACGAUCCAUAGCUGGUUUGAGAGGAUGAUCAGCCACACUGGGACUGAGACACGGCCCAGACUCCUACGGGAGGCAGCAGUGGGGAAUCUUAGACAAUGGGGGCAACCCUGAUCUAGCCAUGCCGCGUGAGUGAUGAAGGCCUUAGGGUUGUAAAGCUCUUUCAGCUGGGAAGAUAAUGACGGNACCAGCAGAAGAAGCCCCGGCUAACUCCGUGCCAGCAGCCGCGGUAAUACGGAGGGGGCUAGCGUUGUUCGGAAUUAC
rnacentral:rRNA from 1 species